rnacentral:rRNA from 1 species
GAACCGCAUGGUUCAGACAUAAAAGGUGGCUUCGGCUACCACUUACAGAUGGACCCGCGGCGCAUUAGCUAGUUGGUGAGGUAACGGCUCACCAAGGCGACGAUGCGUAGCCGACCUGAGAGGGUGAUCGGCCACACUGGGACUGAGACACGGCCCAGACUCCUACGGGAGGCAGCAGUAGGGAAUCUUCCGCAAUGGACGAAAGUCUGACGGAGCAACGCCGCGUGAGUGAUGAAGGUUUUCGGAUC